GACGAACGCUGGCGGCGUGCUUAACACAUGCAAGUCGAACGGAAAGGCCCUGCUUUUGUGGGGUGCUCGAGUGGCGAACGGGUGAGUAACACGUGAGUAACCUGCCCUUGACUUUGGGAUAACUUCAGGAAACUGGGGCUAAUACCGGAUAGGAGCUCCUGCUGCAUGGUGGGGGUUGGAAAGUUUCGGCGGUUGGGGAUGGACUCGCGGCUUAUCAGCUUGUUGGUGGGGUAGUGGCUUACCAAGGCUUUGACGGGUAGGCGGCCUGAGAGGGUGACCGGCCACAUUGGUACUGAGAUACGGCCCAGACUCCUACGGGAGGCAGCAGUGGGGAAUAUUGCACAAUGGGCGGAAGCCUGAUGCAGCAACGCCGCGUGCGGGAUGACGGCCUUCGGGUUGUAAACCGCUUUCGCCUGUGACGAAGCGUGAGUGACGGUAAUGGGUAAAGAAGCACCGGCUAACUACGUG
rnacentral:rRNA from 1 species